GUUGGCGAUGACUUGGUGAAGGGAAUCUAUGAGAGAAGGUUCUCGAACUGGGUUACGACCAACGCGGAACCAACAAGUUCAGUCAAAUAAGGUAACGAGUCUAAGAGAAGGAUCAAGCUUGAAAGGAAUGGACGGGCGUAGGCUUAAUAGUGAACGCAGACCCACCUGCAACUAGAUAUGAGAUCAAUGACAACAAUAAAAGAAAGAUGUCGAGAGAAAGUCUUAGCCCAACAAAUGCGUUGCGAAGAGAGAUCGAAGACGAAGAUUUUCUGACACAGUGCGGGCACUAGAUGGAAAAGACAGAUAAAGGAACAACCCACCGGAAGGGCAUACCUCAAGGGGUACCAAUCUCCCCCGGCAAAGAUCUAUCUGCAUGAAGCCGAUCUAUGGAUAGAAAGAAAGAUGCAGGAAAGGAAAAUGAAAGAAGAAAUCCAAAUUUGCUUUGGGAGUGUGAGAUAGGCAGACGGGGAGUACGCAGCCGAACAACCGCUGGGGUUUCCAGCAGUGAUAGCUGAACUAAUCAGAUGGGCCGCCCCAAACCUGGAGCUGUUAUUUAAAUCGGAAAUCAACAUCGGGUCCCGGCUAUUCGAAAAACACAGACUGAAGCGGAAGAUCACAAAAUGCAACACAACAAGGGGGUCGUUAGACCGUAGCUUGUGCGAAGAAAGAAGCUAAUCAAUCAGAAUUGAGACAGGGAGGAUAGGCAAAAGAGAGAUUUUCGAGCCUGCAAGCAGCAAGCAACAACGGCUUUUCAGCCGUUGCGUGCUAGCUUGUAGUUUAGGGGUAUAGUAGGGGUGCCCCUUUCUCAAACUUUUCUAUAAUAUAAGGCAAGCUUUUUGGAACCCUAGUUUUGGAGUUUUCCCCAACCAACCUAUACCUUACUAAUAAAAAGGGGCUUCUCUUUUUCAGCUGCAUUGCACUGCUGCAUAAACAAUGGAUCCACUGGGCUGGAUGAGCAACCUUCUAUCUGGCCUCUGUACCAAUAGUAGAGUGGCUUGAUACUUUCAAUCAGAAAAGGAAUAUUGAGCAAGUCAAAGGAGAAAGGAGUUGUCCCCCCUUCUCUGGUAACCCGCCGCCGCAUAUGUCGAAAAAGAAGGAGCGGAGAAGGAAGAACAACCGUUUGACUUUGGCACAUGAGGUGGCGGGUUUGGCUAGGUAACAUAAUGGAAAUGUAUCGGACUGCAAAUCCUGGAAUGACGGUUCGACCCCGUCCUUGGCCUCGAGGAGUGGUGAGCAGCACGGAACUUGUUUCAAUCAAAUGGCAUAGUAUUAGGGUAGGAGGCUUUCCUUUGUUAUAGAAAUCCACAGACAAGAUUCUGGAACUUCCAAACCAAAGAAAUGCAAGAUGAGAAGGAGCUUUUUACGUUACGCUUCAAUAGAAUGAAUUCGGUAAGGGUAGAAUAGGCCCUAUGGUCGAUCGAAGGUGCUGUGCCACUUGAACUCAAAUCUAUCUGACCUUCAAUCCAUCUUUGUCCAGCCAGAUCAUAACAAAAUGUUAGACCAAGGUUGACACAACCGAAUUGGUUGAGGAAAAGGAACCCCCAGCGACCAAGCACUCCCGCCCCCAAAAGUGGAGACCGAAGAACCUUAAGGUUGUCGAGGACACGUCUGAAGAGGAGGCGGGUGCCCUCUAAGUUGACCACCCUACUAACUAAUAGACUAUGAGGGGGGGGGGAAGGCGAACGGGAACCGAUCGAAAACCCGAACCGCUUGACUGACCCCUUCAUAGUCCAUUCAUUAAGGUUGGGGAUGGAUGGAACUAAUCAGAAGUGCAAAUCGCGCAAGCGACGCCGGGAAACGGACCGCAGCGCAACAACUAGGACUCGUGUCAGAGGAGUUUUGAGCGUGAGACAACACUCAUGCAGCGGCAAGGACCCGCAACUCUCGAAGGGGCCACCAACCACCCGAAUCACUGUAGCAAACUCUCUCUUUACUCAAUGGAUAACGCUUAUUCUCUUUCAAUCAACAAAAUGAGAAAUGGAAAAAAGAGGUCUUUAUUGAAGAGGCUUUGUACCUAAAAUAGGACUAAUGCAGAUCCAGAAGAAUGGUCUGGGCUUUCAAAAAGAUGAAGAUGCAAGGGAUAAAGAGACAGUCUUUUGAACAACCAAGCUGACAUAAGGAUUCUAGCUCGCGCCCACUUAGAGCAGAUAGAGAUUCUCAGACAGGGAAAAGCGGCACUCGACAUCUAUUAAACAAGACCAAGAACAAAGCCAUACCAUGCCCUUGGGAGAAAGUAGUGAUGAUUGCCAUAAAUGCUGCCCUCGAGGACGUGUACAAGAAGGUCUUUGCCAAUUCCUAUCAACAUGGUGCAUCUCUUAGUAGAGGGGCGUGAAAAGUGGAGACUUUGACCGUAGGGAUCAAUUGAUAGACAUUUUUCUUGAGGAAGAGAAUCCAGGAUGAACGCUUUUUUCAUUCGCUAUGCGCUGAUUGGAUGCGUACUCACGUGAUCAAUCGAUGGAUGGGGGAAUUGCAUGAAUGAUGAGACCGGCCUAACCUAAAGUCAAGGCUCUUCCCACUCUUGAUGGUGAAUCUUGAUUGACUGACACUAGGAACCGAUUCGGAGAAAGAAGAAGCAUGGCAUGAGAUAGGCGGCGGAGAAAUUUCCAAUAGUGAAUUACUUGACUCGAUGGAUGGAGGGAGAGCCCUCCAACUCAAGCACAAAAUCAAUAUUGAGUCAACAAUCAUCGACAGGGGUACCACCAAGCGAGAUCGAGACCAGCCCCUUGUAUAGGUAUAGGGUUCCAAACCUACGCUUCUUCAAAUAUACCAUAAAUCUAAAUAAAGUAGGGACUUCAAAGCUUGACUAAAGAGGGAGAAAGUUGACUUUGAGAAAGAAAAGGGGCGCCCUAGCUGCAAUCAAAAAAGAGCGCUAACGAGCAAGAAAGGGCCCCUUACUAUAGAUAGGGCCUUAGCGCUUUACUAAUAACAAACAUAUAUAGGGCUGACUUUUUUCAGCUUGAUCGGAAUUGAUUCUAUGAUUGAAUAGCAGAAGUACUACUUAGUAGUAGAAACUUGGAGAGAAGUAGGUCCCUUGUUUUUGGCAGGAAGAGUUCCAGCCUUUGUUGCCCCUCGGUAGAGUGAGUCUACUUAGCGAACUGGUAGGGCGUGGAGAUCUAUUGAUCAAUAUGAAUCUCGAGAGUGAAUGGUUGAUCGCCGCCUCCUUGUCCUGGAGGCUCUCCGGCCGGGGAGGGGCUUGCUAUCGUAACCCUUUCUCCCAGUGUAUGUGAAAAAGAGUGAUGAACUCAUUUUUCUUCAGUCAUAGGUUAAAGAACGAGAGUCGGCUUCCAACAUUAAGUUUGUUGUUCCUCAGUAGCUCAGUGGUAGAGCGGUCAACUGUUAACCGAUUGGUCGUAGGUUCAAAUCCUACUUGGGGAGAUUUUUGAGUUAUCGCUUUUCUGACCUAGCGCUUGCCUCCGGUGGUGUCCUUCUCCUUUGUUUCUAAACUAGAAGAAUCGUGGGACAUCAAAGGCGGUAAGUUGAUUGUUGGUUUUUAUUCCUCACUCUCGUAUAGGAACACUUGGUUCGUUCCAUUCUUAGGGAAGGAUCCACUGGAAAGACUGGAGUAGUAUCUUCAUUAGCCGGAAGGAAUUAGUCUCCACUAGCGUCAUUCGAAGAACGAACAAGAAAAGGGUUACUGUUCAGGAUAGAUGGAUGUGGCCCAAUGGCUAAAGCUCUGCCAGCUUCUUGUAGACUGAACUCUCUUCUCUUUAGGCUCCGAGUUCUUUUUAGGGGGGAUGGUCUAAUUUACUUGUGGCAACAAAGUUCUUAAAUGACUAGAUUCUCCCAGAACGCUAGCUAAGCUAAUCAUCUUAGUUCCCUUCAAUUAAAUCAAUAAGCUUUUUGAUUGAUUCAGGCCGCCACCCCCUUCUUAGAAUUAGAACCCAUUGAGGGGGUCCUCGGCCCGGGAAGGGGAGAGUGGCCGAAUGGUUAAAAGUGGCAGACUGUAAAUCUGUUGAAGUUUUUCUACAUAGGUUCGAAUCCUGCCUCUCCCACUUGUUUAUUGUAGACUUCAGAGAAGAGAAAAGAGGCAUUCGUCAGCGUAGGAAGGCCAACCUAGCGAAGCUCUUUCUUUUUUUUGGCCGUGCCGUGAAGUGAAAUUGUAUCGUAUGUUAGUUAGAGAGGUUGGCAAAAUACUACGCUCUAUAGAUUUCCCAUCUAUAUCUAAUCCCAACAAGAAUAGAAGCGAGUCACUUCUGGCCUAUCUUGUAGUCAUAGUCUUUUAGCUUAUGUAGUCGUCGGCCUUCCUACACGCAUGCGUCCGCCAGAAUGCCUCCUUGGUUUGGGACGAAGCCAAGCCGAUACAUAAGAUAGGCGAAGGAAAGACCCACAUUUCAUAGUGCCUGAGGAACGCAAGUUUGAUCGAGGAUUGGAGAGGAGAGAUGGAAGAAAGGGCUCGGGAUGGAUUUAGGAGUCUUUGUGCGAGCCGUAUGUGGUGAGAGUCACACGUAUGGUAACGAGGGGGGUUCGCGUCUAUACGUGUAGUGUGGUGCUUUGGCCUACCCACCCUAUUUGUUCCAUGAUCUAUGGGUCUACUGGAGCUACCCACUUUGAUCAAUUAGCCAAGAUUUUGACCGGAUAUGAAAUCACUGGUGCUCAAUCUAGUGGUAUUUUUAUGGGGAUUUUAUUUAUCGCUGUAGGAUCCCUAUUCAAGAUCACUGCAGUUCCUUUUCGGGCGGCUGUAGGAUGGACGCCUAUAGGUGGUAGGGUAGGGUGGGUGGUACCGCUCUGCGGCCAAUCUCCUAACCGCUUAGGGCCGGGCUUAGAGCGCGUGAAACUCAUCACUACCUCAUAAGGGCAUUGAGACCAUAAUAUGUUACACGAAAGCGCCGCUUUCUCUGUAGUGUUGUCACACAGCUGCCCGCCUAGAAGAGUAACUCGCUUUGUAGUGUUGUCACACAAGAUAAGCACGCCGUCCUCCUGCUUGCCGGGCGAAUCGAAGUUAUCUUUUGGUCAACUGUCCACCGAGUCAAGUGCAAAAAACACAGUAGAAUCAUGCAACGCACGCUGCUGGUGUGCUUCUUGCUUGUGAGGAAAGAAAGAAGAGCGAUAGGGUUCAGUUCAGAUUUGACUGUUUGCAGCAUGGGAGCAGAUUCCCCAAAAAAUCCCUGGGAACAAUGAAAAAGAAAAGAUAUCUCGGUAACGAAAACUAUAGGGGGCUGUAUUGGCGAGAUCCAACGGUGAACAGCUGCCCAAAAGAAAAACCACCUGGAAGUCCGAGGACCUUUAGUACCGUACUCUACCCCCGAACCAGCAGCCUUCACGCCAAGCAAGACCGCCCUUGUCCCUUUUCUUUCUCCAUUCCGCCUCUUUCUUUGCUUUGUUCCAAUAGAGUCUAAGGCAAGGUGGUUCGUAUGCCUACUUUACCUACUUGAUGAAAGGGAACGAACAAUGUUUCAUUUUCGGGUUUAUGGAUUGGAUUCAGUCAGCCUCACAACAUAAUCAGAGUGAGGCUUUGGUUAUCGGCAAACGCUUCUCCAAAGGCGACCCUCUCAAGUUUUUGACUGUUUUCAUCAUUGAAGUAUUCGUCGCCCUACCAAACGAAAGAAGUCACUAUCAAACUGCUCGCCCUAUUGAAGUACCAAAGGUGCGCUCAGCCCGGUGACUAGGAAAUGGGUUUGCCCUUGAAUUGAAGUGAUGAGGUCGGAAAGAGGGAAGUAGGGCUCCUAUUGACUAAAGGUUGGUUCUUCGCUUUCCUUUAGAAUGAAAGUAGCUAUGAAGCCCCUCUCCUUACAGUGGCUGAACGCCCCUAAUACUUACUUUGUUUAAUUCAAAAGGCGAACAACCCCCCAACUAGUUGUAUGGGGUGGGGUGCUUGUGAAAAGCUGCUUUGGAUAUGAGUAAUUCCUAAAAAAAGGCUUUGUCCGGUAUUUGACAAAGAUCUUUCUAUCAAUAGAUAGGAAUGAGUGUUCGAUAUAGGGGAUAGGAUCCAUCUGCUCUUUAAUCUCAUAAUUUUUUUGUGAGAAAUAUAUAUAUAUAUCGUUUAUCUAUCUCUUGUCUAUCUAUCAUUAAUUCUCAAGUCCAAUUUUUGGGUUCCCCGAAGCCCCGAAUAGAAUGGAUCGUUUCUGCCAACGAAAUGAACGCGAGCCCGUUCCGAAUGCUUCUACGAUCCGGAAGUUCUCACGAAGAGAAUAAGAUGCUGCUCCCCUUCCCUCUUUCUUUUCCCGCUUAGCUAAUCUUCCCCUCUAAUGCGGGCCGGGCGGUGACGGGCGCGGGAGGAAGAAACCUAAGAGAAGACGCUCGUCUCGGGCGGUCCUUUUUUUCAGUGUAACACAGAAAAGCGCCCUCUUUUUGUCAUCCCUGCAGCUUUCCAGAUUUUGUAUUGAAUGCAUGGCGUAGCUAGGACCCUUCACAUUCUGUUUGAGCCUAUGUUAAAGCCAAACCCACCCCCUAUUUUACUAAGGCUGGAAAGAAUGCCCACCAAGUUUAGAUAAGGGAAUGCUUUCCCCAACCAUUAAAGUAAAGGUUCGACGAAGGGAGGGAGGUGCGGCGGGGGAAGGAAAACGCUUUCGUAGAUCAAGUUUUUUUUUUUCAUCGAAAAUGAAGAAGGCUGAAGAUGGCCGUAGGUGCAUCUUAUCUGAAGGGAACACGCUUUUUUGACAGCCGUGGUAUGAUUGUCGGGCCCUCCUUCUUACAGUGGCUUUCAGCUCCUCUCCUCGUUCUGCCCUUCCUAUUGGGAUAGCAGCCUUCGGGUUUUGCCUGCCCUUUCUAAUAAGAAAUUCUGGCUCAGCCUGGGAAAGCGAUGGCAAUAACUGAAAGGAAGGGGUCCAUGUAGCUGCUGUGUCCUCCCCCUUCUUAGUCAAUGGGGCACAGCAGGUUCGGCAUCUACUACAAAAGAGAGAAUCCACUUCAGAUAACCACGUCUCUGCUAGGCAGCGUGUGGAAUGGCCGAGAGCGGACCUUUUUGGAUAUAUAAUCCAAGUCGAGAGUAGAGUUACAGGAAAAGCCGUCUGAUGGAAAACGACUUUCAUGUUCGGUUCAGAGAGCACUUUUUUCGUUGAGAAUUCCUCAUUCCCUUUCGUGUGAAUUCCCCAGCGGUGAAUUUCAAACUUGUGGGGCCCUAUCUAUUCCAUCUCUCGAGCCCCGAAGAAAACCCCUACCCUUCGGACUCCAUUAUAUCUUUUGACUCUAUAUAUGUGGGCACCUGAUAUCUAUGAGGGUUCACCCACCCCGGUUACAGCAUUCCUUUCUAUUGCGCCUAAAAUCUCUAUUUCUGCUAAUAUUUCACGUGUUUCUAUUUAUGGUUCUUAUGGAGCUACAUUGCAACAAAUCUUCUUUUUCUGCAGCAUUGCUUCUAUGAUCUUAGGAGCACUGGCCGCCAUGGCCCAAACGAAAGUAAAAAGACUUCUAGCUCAUAGUUCAAUUGGACAUGUAGGUUAUAUUCGUACUGGUUUCUCAUGUGGAACCAUAGAAGGAAUUCAAUCACUACUAAUUGGUAUCUUUAUUUAUGCAUCAAUGACGAUAGAUGCAUUCGCCAUAGUUUUAGCAUUACGGCAAACCCGUGUCAAAUAUAUAGCUGAUUUGGGCGCUCUAGCCAAAACGAAUCCUAUUUUGGCUAUUACCUUCUCCAUUACUAUGUUCUCAUACGCAGGAAUACCCCCGUUAGCCGGCUUUUGUAGCAAAUUCUAUUUGUUCUUCGCCACUUUGGGUUGUGGGGCUUAUUUCCUAGCCCCAGUGGGAGUAGUGACUAGCAUUAUAGGUCGUUGGGCGGCCGGAAGGUUGCCACGAGUAAGUAAGAAAGAGGGCCCGAAGGCAGUUCUCCGUGCAUCGGACACGUAGCUUACCGAAUUCGUUGCGACACGGAUGGGAAUGCAUGCUACGAAAGAUAGGGUCGAGUCUGAUACAUCAACCGUCUACUCAAUAUCCUUGUACGAGUCCACAAUGACUACAUGAGAUGAACCUUGGUUUGGUGAAUUGAAGUUGGCCUUAGGUGUAAUAGGACUCCUAGUUACUGUGCGCGAUCGUAUACUGAGGUGCUCCCUGUCGGUUGUUAGAAUGACACGAGCCAGGCCGGGUCUCGAUUUAGAAAGAUGAAGGGCCCAAAAGUCUAAAUAGUGGGUGAAAAAUUCCCCAUCUCAUUGGGGGCGGAAAAAAAGAAGUGUGGAGGAGAAGCAGCCGAGAUCAUUCCCUUCGCUUCCUGGGCCCAAAGCAGUGUAGUCUUUCCUGGCCAAAUCAAGGAUUUGGGGCUUCUUACUAUGCUACAACACUAUAUAAAUCCAUUUAUAUUAGUAAUAUAUAUGAAUAGAAAGAUAGAUCCAUCCAUCUAUCCUAUCCGAUUUUGAUUUUUCUAUCCAAAAAAGAAUCGAUUUCAUUCAACCUUUGAUUCAAAGAACUGCGCUUAGCCCCCCCGCCCAUGAAAAUGCUAUGCUGCAAUGGAUGGCAGAGGGUCCGUAGUACCCGAAGCACUGGAGUGAUCCAGUAGCCGGGAAGGGGCCUAGAAGUGCCUACUACUACACCACACUAUACUUGGCUCUACACAUUUAUAGAGCUAACCCCUGUCCAGUGCCUGGCAGAGCUAAGGGGGCUUCAAUCCUUACUCUUUAUCCCCAUCUUCGCUCAGGCUUACCGGGGCCUUACUUAUUCAGGGGGGAGAGUGGAGCCUCGAAAAAAAGCACUGUUGAGAGGAAGAUCCUUGGCCUCUCUUCAUUCUCUACAGGGUUCUAAACCUUUCUUCAACAUAGGUGACAACGAGCCAGGCAGAGAUGGAAGAGAUCAAACACGAGAAUAAGAAGCAAGCUCGCCUUCCUUUUUGAUUAUUUUGAUAGAGGGGGAUGAAGAAAGUGGACAAAAUGGACUCGCAUUUCUCAUCGAACAAAUACAGGAAAAGAAUCAUAUUGAAAACGCUCCUAACCCAACCCCUUCCUUCGUAGAGCCCGUGUAUUAUAAGUGAUCCGAACCUGCUCGAAGCGAGCCUCCCAUAGAGGCAAGUGAAGUUGGUGAGCCGUAUGAUGGGCAACUAUCUCCUGCGGUUAGGAGAGGACUCAGCUAUUAGUUAGUACCCCCUUGGUUUUGGGGUGGCCCUUUUCACUCUAUUUUAUUACAUACGCUUAGCAAAAAGAAUGUUUUUUGAUACACCUAGGACAUGGAUUCUAUAUGAACCAAUGGAUCGUGACAAGUCGUUACUACUAGCAAUGACUUCCUCUUUUAUUACUUCAUUCUUUCCAUAUCCCUCUCCUUUGUUCUCAGUUACUCAUCAAAUGGCACUCAGUUCAUAUCUUUAAGUUCGAUCAUUGACAAGGUUCAAAGAAAGGGUGGGCCAUUGAUAAAGAAUCGAUGGAAAACCACAAUGCUAGCAGAUGGCGGGCCUCCGCUUUUCUUUUCAUUAAUGAAACCCGCCAGUUAUUAUUAUUAUGAACUCAAAUAAAAGGACAAAAAAUUUGGAUUUAGAAGGCUUGUUCAAAAGAAAAAAAGACGUGGGUGGCAUUAUGACUGGGGUGUCAGUUAGAAAGGUUCAACCAAUGUUCGUUCAAUCAAGCAGCAUUCUUUUUUCUUAACUUAAGGAGAGGGAUGAGGGAAUUGUUUCUAUGCUUUUCUCAGAUAAUGCGUGUGUGAGAGUGAAGCUAUCGCGCCUAAGGCGAAAGGCUCUGUUCGGCUCGAUAGGUGGCAGGCUCAGAAUAAGACGAUAAAGACAAGGGGGAAGUUUAGUUAUUAAGUUCCUUUGUUAAGGUAAGGAUAAGAUAAAGAGAGGAAAUAGUUAUAUAUAACUAUUAUUUAGUUAGACUAGUGACCAAUAGCUAAAGAAAGUGAAAGAAGUAGAAUCAAGCCAUUCAUCUGAAAAAAGCUUUUUGCUUUCUGUAAAACUUCUCGAACUAGAAAGAGAAGCCCUUUUCAGCAGGCUUCCAGCUUCAGGGGCUUGAUCAGGAUUCGAGGAUGCUCCUUCGAGGAUGCUCCUUGUCUCUUUUGCUUCUUUUGAAGAUCAUGUCGAAUCGCUCUCUCAUACUCCUCAUAGGUCAGCCCUGGUACCACAGAGGUCGUCGCUGCAGAUAAGGGCGGAUUCCAAUUUGCUUCAUUAUCUUCUUCUUCGUUAGCAACUACUACUCGAGACCUACCCUUGUGCGAGUGACUGAUGGGGGGAAGCGAUGGCUCAGGAAGGGAAGGUGCAGUGCAGACUUGGUUAAUCACGUAAUCAUUGUGGAGUGCUGUAAGUGCACAAACUUAGCCAAGUUAGCGAGUGUGAGAACAAGAAUUCGAGCAUUCACUUUAUUGAAAAAUAGUCUGACUCUCUAAAAAAAGAAAAAAGCUUCAGAGUCUUCUCAGGAAGCUUGCCCGCGGCCAAGAUAGGGAAUUACUUCCGAAGAAAGGCAAGAAAAUGCGCUCGAGCAGAAGGACUCACACUCGGUGAUUCAGGAAGACUGAAGAGCAGUCCCAGUUGGCAGCGAUCCUAGUCCUGCCUGGCGUGAGCCAUAAGAGUAGCAAUCUGUGAGGCACUCCCUAUCUCUGCCCCUUCCAUGGGGCACAGGCCUUAGGAACGUAGGAACUUGAUGGCUAUUGAAACUAUCCUAACUUUUUUAACGGGAACUGAGUUGACUUGUUAGGGGUAGGGCUGAGGAUCCAGCAUCCCAACCUGAAUUAGAGGGGAGCUCUAAUUCAAAGCGUGGGCUACUAAGGAAGGCCCCUUUCCAUAUCGGGGAGAGUCUAAAAUAGUGUUUUGGAAUUCAUCGAUAUCAGAGUACAAAUUUUUCAGGUACUCUAACGGAUAGAGCUUUUUCUGCGGCAUAUUGAGAGCCAUAUAGUCUCCCGCCACGUGUCCCGUGAACUGCUAUCAUAACUGGAUUUCCUACCGUCUGUCUAUCUCUUAUCGGGAAAGCACUUUUUUUUUAUCCUUUAGUGUAUGAUUUGACUCCACUCAAUAUCAUGCCCAUCAACAGACCCACUGCAGCUGUACUGGCGAAUUCAACCUAGAAUAUUCAGUCAGGUGUUUUCAAUAUGAGUACCCCUGGAAAUCGGCCAGCCCUCAUCCUCUUGGGAUGCAACCUUACCCCCUCGUAACUCGUUCUACUGUACUUCAGACCCCCACACGUCAGAAGGGUGGAUUGACCGUACUGAUUGGAUAGUUUUUCUCAUCUAAGAACCAGAAGCAGGCAUUCUCUAAUCCUACCAAAUUCCCACUUUCACUCGAGCAGCAGAUAUGAGACCAGUAAGAGCGGAUUCAAGACUUUCAACCUGAUUCAGCUCAUACUCACAUUCGUCCUAAUCAAUAUAGAGCUGAUAGUAUGAAUAGUAAAGUCUAUAUUAACUAGCCAUAGGCUAUCCUAAGAACGAUCUCUAUAAUAAGGAAAAUAAGGAGUACCCUCACUCACAGAGGAUUCGAUAAUAGUCUAUUGAUUCUAGUGCACUAUCCUUAACACAGGUAAAUUGGUCUUUCUUUUUAUCAUAUGGUAUUAAUGUGGAAGAACUAGGCUAGAAAAGAAUCCCUCAUUCAUUCAUCAAUUUCAUUGCCUCUUCCCUGUCCUAGGUAUGGACGAAGACCGAGACUUCUCUAAGAUCUGAUUCGAUGGUAUAUCCCUCUUCUAUUGUUCUUAGAAAAAUCUCUCACUCUUGAUGAAGAAAAAGACUUCAGCUUUAAUGAUCCGAUCUUGUCUUCACUCACCGAUUCCUUUAAUAAGAGGAAUGCCCGGAAUGCUUGGUACCCUUUUUCUUGCUACUGGUUUAUUCCUAUCCCACUUUUUCUUUCCUCACUCCCCGCUUUAAGAGUUAUUGCUUCAAGUAAAUUUGCCUUGCUAGCUUGCCCUCUAUUAUUACUGUACAGAGCGGGGAAGAAGCACUACUGAAGGUCAUUACUGUGUUGGAUCAACUACUUCAAUUGGAGCAUUCUGGUAAGCUUGAUCCUCGGGUUAGGUUCUUUUUCAUUGGCAUGUGAUAGGGUGGGGUGGUCUACCGGUGAGAGCCAGAUGGGAAAGACAUAGAUGGCACCAAUCUAAUCUCAAGAACUAUGAUUCAACCAUUUCUAUGUCGCUGACUGGGGUCUCUCCCCCUCUGGGGAAUCCAUAGAAAGCAAAACAAUUCUAUAAAGUGACAAUUUUGCUGUCCGUCUCGAUUCAUUCUCUUUUUUAGUCUAAUUAUGGCAUGUGUCACGCUCAUCUAUUCUAUAGUCAAAGCAGGAGCCUAUCCUUAGCAACGUGCCGUGCCCCGAUUGUCAUCUUUGUCUUUGUGUGUGUCUGAGUGGGACCUUUCCUCGUAAAUUGCCUUCUUCGAGGCAUGAUCAGGGGGGCAUAUGGUUUAUUUUUGCUUUUAUUUGUAUUGAUCUGAGCACCGCCCUAGCGAACUAUUGGGUUGAGGGACCCAGCCCAGACAACUUUGGAGUAGAGUCACUUCCAAUAGCUUAAGUAAAGCUCUUAAAAUACGAGAAAUAUCAAUCGGUGGAAAUUUCUGUGGUUGGUUCUUGAACCAAUUCCAUUUCAGGUUCCCCAAGACAACAAUGAAUGGACUCUUUUUGGGGAGGUUGAGGGAAGGAUAAAGCAGCUAAGGCAGGAUAUCAUUGUUGUAAGCCUCCUUUACUGCAUUAGAUUAGCGCCCUAUUGAUCGUGUCUUCGGAGGGUUGGAGAAAUGUUAAAUACUCCUUUAGGAAAGAACUCCUUGCCAUCUUUACGCCUUACAUGCGGCAUAAAUCGCAUAAAUCAAAGUAGAGGUCACAAGAUGACCUAAAGUCCAGAAAAAACCCACUCUCCCCCGGGAGUGCUUUCGAGAACACAUGCACCGGUUAUUGCAUCAACAUCUUCUACAGAUAGUUUACCAAGAAUAGCAAAGGAGAUUCCACCAAGAACUUCUAUUGCUAAAAGAGCUAAUUCAAGUGCAGUACUUAUUGUAACAAGAACAACGUGAACUCAUUCUCAAGAAUUUGCAAAGACAAUGUGGUAUUCUCUUCCACGUAGCCUUUUCCUGACGAAAUUUCUAGUGGGGUUUACUCUAGUAUAGGCGUGAACCAUAUUUACAGAGAAGCAAACUCUUCUGCAGAUUCUAUACCCAGCUCCUCCCUUUCUGGUUUGCAUGUCUUUCAUUCUGAAUUGCCUCCUUUGACUCGUGCAUGCUUGUGUUUAGAUAGGUUAGAUACUUCUUAUAUUAGGAGAAUUAUUAUAAAGGAGUAGUAAGGAAGUGAAACCCCGAUCUAAUCUUACACGUGCGAGGAUAGUCCUCUGAAUAGAGUCCAUUGCAUCCCAUAAUAAUCGACAGGCAGCCCUCGUACAUUUAGUAUAAACCGCUGAAAACUCGAAAGUCUGUCCACUCUGAGUGGGCAGAGCCUUAUUACUUUAUUAAUAGGAGGGAUGCAAGGAAUUGAUGCUACGAAUGCCAUAGCAAGUAAAUCAGAAUAAGCCCUAGACCAGUUACUGAUUGGAAAGGUUUAAAUAAGAGUGUGCCUAGCGUCUUUUGCUCUCUCUUAUUAGAAGAAGGAAGGGGCGCGGCCCCACUCAGCUCGAAGAAGUAGCUCUUUCAAAUAAUCCAUACUUUUUCUCUCCAACCAGUCAAGUGGCCUAAGGGCUACCUCAAUCUUAUUCUGUUUCUGAUCCUGCUUCAGAUUCUUUUUUAGUUGUGGAAACAAGCCCCUAUUCCUAUCAGUUGAGUAGCCCAAGCUCCUUAAAGCGUAUUGUCCCCUCUCCUGUGAAAGAAAGAGGUUGAUGCACCCAGCUACCCGAAGUAGAGCUUUCUUUGUCCCACCUUUCCUUACUGACUUUCCUAGUUUAGAUAGCGUAUUGAGAAUCAUGUCAAAAUACACCAAGACCUGGGCCCAGGUUCUCUUUCUUCAAGAAAGGGUAGCUUUAAACAACCCGGUUCCAAACACACCAAACAAGCAAGCGACUCCCCUUCCUUAGUGUACCCGUCCAUUAAGGCAUUCUUCCUUCUUGCGUAUGUGUUAUAGCUCAUAGCUCUAAGCCCCAAUUCCUUGGUGAAAAGAGCUGUCGCCUUUAAAUCAUCGAAAAAAGAAAAGAAGGAACCGCUCGAAAGGGACCACACAACAAUGGCUCAUAACUGGAAAACAUAACAACAAUGUCUCCUAGCUGCAAAAGAAUGGCUCCCAACUAAAAAUUUCUCUCGAUCACUCUCUAACAGAAAUCCAUUUUCCCUUUCGCAAAAAGUCAACUUGGAUUUCUUUCCUAAGCGGAGAUUUAGACUACAUGGACCUAAGCAACCCACCGACAGGGGCAGCCUUUCACUGUUGGAAACUUUGAUUUAGAUUGGUAGGAUUCUGUCUAAUCUUUCCUAAUUUCGAAAUUGCACUCAAUCAACAUAGUUUCCACUCAUUCCUUCUCGACCGCCUCUUUUCUAGUCACUUUUGAUCAAAUCUUUCUUGUGAUUUUCUAUUCUCUUAUGAGAAAUGGUUUGCUUCGUUUGAGCCGUCGUCGCUUAAUGCAUGUAGGGGGGCUGGGGCUUUUCCCCCACGACCCCUUUUAAAGGAGAACCAGAAGAACAACAAUGAACUCAAAGCUAAUGAAGGAGAUCCGCAACUUGAACAAGGUAGACGGGAUCUUUCCUACCCCUUUCUAUUUCGACUUCUUUGAAAGGUGAAAGAGUAAGAAGCUAGACCGACUUGCUCUUAAAUUAAAAGCAACAAGAGCAAGUAAGUAGGCUUUUCUCUGCAAAAGCAAUCUUGACUUUCUUUAUACUUGAUAAUAUAAGGCCCUUUAAACGAUCGUAAAUGGCCUGAAAUGUAACGACCUAUGAGAGAGGGGUUUUUAGAAAAGAAAGCGUACCAAUUCGGCAAACAAAGCAAAAACAACGGCUCCUACAUAAUUGCUUUCGGACUAGCCUGAGAAUUAGAGCUUUUGGGUGGACAUAGUAGUCCUAGCCCAGGAGUAGCAACCGCCCGACCCUAGGGAUUUAUCCCAUCCAUUUGCCAUAGGGUCCUCGCCCUCUUGACUUGAUAUGUCAAUCAUACUAGGCCUAUACUAUGGGGAGGAUCGCACACUUUUGAUUGUUUAGUUGCUGGGAGGGCUCCUUUAGUCUUCUUUAAGAGCUCGUCCCUAAUACCCAUUAGAUACUUCGCCUUCUAGUUAGCUUUAAGGUUAGUAAGAAGUUAGAAAAGACUAUCAAUGGCAGCAUAGAAAGGUCAGUCAUCAAUCGGACUUCUCACCCGAUCAGUCCUCUCUCUUCCUUCAUACAAUCUUAUCCAUUUCAGUAAUAGUUGGAGUCAAAGUUUCGACUUUAUCCCAUUAAUAACAUCCCAUUAAUAACCCUUUGUAGAACUACUAAAGAACCUGAAAGCAAGAUCUAGCAAGUCAGCACCAGCGCUAGCGUAGGGGCUGACCUAUAAAGGAACCUGUAAUUGAGCCCUCGGCGUAUGAGAGGACCAGGGUGAAGACAGUAGAGAAAGACUUUUUAUUACGUUAUCCAGAAUGCGAUGCCCCAAGGCAAGAAAGUAGCAAUCGGCUUUCAAUCCUAUGAUUUUACUCGAAUAGCUAAUGUCAGAGUAGCAGAUAUGGUUUUUAGCGGAAGCUGCUUUCCCCGGAUGCGGAAUUGAAAGAACCAUGCCUUUUUUCUUAUAAAAGCCUCCUCAUCAACUCUCUGUCUUUCGAACCCACCUCACCGAGCUUAACGCCCUGGAGUCGCUCUUGAAUCGAGUUAGUGAAGAUACCAAAAGCUAGUCUUCUUUUUGAUAGUAAGAGAUAGAAAUGCGGCGAAUCGAGAAAGAGCUUAUUAGCUUAUUUCAAAUUCGAGUCUAAGUUAUUGAAAUCUUUAUCUUCUUAUCCCAAAUUGGCAUAUCUGUCCUUUGCGCCUCUCUAUAUGUAAUUUUCCCUUAAUCUUUAAAUUGCGAAAAUAAUGAAAUGGCUGUUUUAUUGCCAACCCAUCUCUUUCUUUCAAUCGGAUGCCAUGUGUGAAGCAUCUAUCUCUCUCAGGACCUCACCUUCGUGACCUCCUGACGGAGGAAAGACUGAUGUCAUGGUUAGCAAUCAAAUCUGGAAUCUCCGACAAAGCAUCUGAGAUCGGACAAUUGUGUAGAUGAGAGAGUGGGACGGACCUUGCUCUUAAGGGUUGAAAAAAGACCUGGUUGCUUUCUUUCCUGGGAAAGACCAGAUCUACGGUCACACUUCAAUGAGUGAGCCUCAACCUAGACAUCGAACUCCUAUCUCUUGAGCUUAUUUACUGUUGAAAAGGGUACUGUUCGUAGCUUGGCCUUUUUUGAUUUCCUAUUUAGUGCUUUGAAUUCUUCUGCUGUUCCUGCCUAGCGUUGAGGCCAUAGGGCUUCCUUGUAAAUAAGUUCGAAUUAUAAUAAAGUAACGGUUUGGGAGAGCCUAUGCGGAAGCCUUUUUUUUCUUCUUCAGCUUGUUUUCCUGCGUCUUUUACGAUGGCUUGCUUGCUAACAUAACGAGCAGAGGUAGGGCACCUAGUCGGAAAAGCCGUAAUCAGGUUACCCGAGAUAGAAUAGGGCUCAGUGCAAUAGUAAAUCUAGUAAAUAUAAUAAGAGAAGAAUUAGCGUAAGAAAAUCCUAGCCUGUCCCUUACCGAUGAGUGAGUACCCUUUUUUCUCUUUUUAGUUGAGUUGGUGUUCAAUGUGCCCCGUGGGUACAAACAAGAUUGAAAGGGUGAACAAUCCCUUACUUUAGUAAGCAACCUCAGUUCCCUUACUUGUUAAAGUAAGCAAGUCAACUCUCUUACUUGUUCUUGUAAGCUAUUUCUUUCCCGUACUUUAGUAAGUAAGCAUGUAAACGACCAUCUCUCCGUAGAUAAAAGACUAGAGUAGGCCCCAUAGAGAUGUUGACAUCCGGGUUCACUGAUCUCGAAAAACUAACGGAGAUAAGGUCGAUAGCUUGCUUUCUUGUGAAAGUACAAAAGAAGGUCGCUGAGGUAGAGUCCAUAGGCAAACUUCUUAGGAUGUCUUUGCCCCUGGUUCCUUUUGAAGACCCAUAGUAGCCGCAAAGCACCAUUCUGCGCACUCAGAAUAUAAGAGUGAAUUUGCACAAUUAGUUUCAAAGUGUCUAUGAACAUUAAAAAUCUUCUUUCUACGGCUUACAACUUUCAUAGCCCUUAUAUUUAGCUCUCCAAAGAGCAAUUCUUCUCAAAAGGUGCUGACCAUUCUAAAUGUGGCUUCAAAGUUAUUCUUUCUAAGUGCGGAUUCAAUUGAUUAACUGUGCCACCUUCCUUCUACUAGUUGAACUGUGCCACCUUCCUUCUACUAGUUGAUUUAAGCGCAUCAACCGCAAAGAAAGUGAUGACCUAUUCUCUAGCAGCUGCAGGGGCAAGCCUAAACAUCUACACCUUCCAUGGGAAUUUAGGAAGAAUUCCAUUUCCUUAAGGAAUCAGUCCCAAGAGCGGCUACGACUACGAGAGCAGUUACCCUUCUAACCUUAACACCGGUUACGUCCUUCUUCUGUCAUCGGGGAUGGGAACCUUGGUAGGAAUGUUGGAGGGUUCUCGGCAGGUAGGUUUGAUGCUAGCCUUGUUGCCUUGGCAUUGGCUGAUUCAAGACAUCCUCGCAAAGGCGCCAUCUUUCUUAAGUGACUUUUAUAGACCUCUUUUUCUAAAAUACGAUAAUUUCGUUUUUGAGACCACUGCGAUAAAUGAGCUUUUGAGACUCCGUUUUGUUAACAACAGGUACUCUUUCUGCCUUACUUUAACAAGUAAGCAAGUAAACUACCUUCACGGUAAAGGAUCAUCUGUCCUAUGAAAACUCAUAGCCUCGAUAGUGGUCUAAGGCAAGAAAGUAUGAUCCGUCACGUGUGCCAAGGAGAUGUCGAUUGACAUUGAAUUCUCUCCUCUUGUUUUAAUAUGAAUUGACUCUGCUUCGGUCACUUUCUUCGUAGGUCCUUAAGCAACUCCUCUUGUCACUAGUCACUAUGCCCGAAGGUUAGCAAGCCUGUCUCUUGAUAUAAAUAGUCAUUCCUUUCUUUCCUUUGUUAGAGAAUCACCUAAGACCGCUAAUGUUCCAUCUAAUUCAAGAACAAGCCCUUCUCAAUGUCUUGCCUUUCGCAUGUGUUUUCUUUGAAAUUGGAAUUCCAACCAAGUUCCCUUCCCAAAGCGGGAACAAGUUGGUGCGACCGAUUAAAGAAGAAGGACAACUCGCAAUGGUACUAUGGCUAGUUGGAAAGCCUUUCAAGCCAAUCUCUUGAUUCACAUGAAUGUGAAACCGUUGCAACCGAUCCUGCAUACCAAUCAUCCGCCGCUUAAAGUAAUGGCCAAGGUUUCUAUGGAUUCAGUCCUGUGGAAAAAUAGUGUUGUGGGCAAUUCAGUGUGUAGUGUCACCCCUGGGACACUAGCGAGUCCGUCCCUAAAAAUUAGGUCCAUGAAGCCAGAGUGCUGUCGCACUAAACGACUACCCUUCCUUGGAUACUCCAAGCCACAAUCCGUAUUGUCCUUGAACCUAGACCAUGGAAGGUUGGUUAUAGUCCCAUUCUAUUAGUGGGAUCCAUAGCCCACGGGUCUUUCCCAAGCCAGCAAAGAAGAAGGUAGUCUAGGACUACCCUAAGCCUAGAAGAGAAGUAGGCAGGACUUUCAAUUACAAUGUCUAGGUUGGGCAAGCCGCCUUUCGCCUUUCUAAAGCCAAUCGAUUAUCGGAUUUCACCAAGCCAACUACCACUACCUGGGGAUUUCUAGAUCCGCUCUAAGAUAGCAUUAAAAUUCCAAACUCCAUGAAAGAAGGAGAUUGAUUAGCUAUAGUCAAAUCUCAUGACGGUGAUCAAAGAGCAUUAGCUACGAUACUACAACCUCUGCUCCUGACCCCCAGAUUGAAACGUUAUGAUUCACUCUGGUGCUGCUUGCUGGUGGAGGUUGGGAGUAUCUCAACAAUGAAUAAGAAGUCGAAGAAGCCCUAGAUCCACCUCUUACUUACCUCCCUUCCCAGACUAGCUAGUCAGGGCGAAGCAUUCAUCAACAUUAGUAGUUUUGGCACGAUAGACUCAUGAGAUGUGACCUCAUGAUGGGUCGGUGGGAAUGGCUUGUGAUCAUGCAUUCAAUCAAUUUCCCUUGGAAAUAUUGCAAACGAUGGUCAAGGUUUGCCGUAAAUAAACAGAUGAGUUCGAUUCAAGCAUCCGAACAAGAAUAUGGUUCAGAUACCCCAAACAAGAAGCCACUUAGGAUUUUUGCUUUUUUUUUCCCGGAGGGUGGGUCUCGUGACAACGCCUUCCUCUGCGGUCUCUAUUCGUAGGAAUAGAAUAGUCCAAGUAAUUGCGUCUAUCACUGAAGGCAGCCAAGAGUCACUCAGGGCUAUUGUACUUGUACUACUCAACUGUUAUAGUCCAUUAGAGUGUUUGAAAUCCAUAACUAAAGUCGCUUCCUCGUGAACUCCAUUAACUAGGCGCCCCUUUCCAAGUAGUCAGUCUGUUCUCUUGUGGAGAAAGCCUUACUCUUAUUUUGUUCGAACGUAGCCCGCAGGAGUCAAGGGGUUGUAGGGGUGACUUCCAGAGAUAAUUACGGCGAGGGGAGAUAAAGAGCAUUCUUCCUUCACGAAUACCAACUUCACCAAUCCCUAACCCGGCUAAAUGGUUUGACGCCUGCAUUUAAACUAACUCACCAUAUGUUAGUAUGCUAGUGUACGGCUGAGAAAGUAUAUAAAGUAUAUAGAGGGAAAAGGUUUUCAAAAAGCCAUUCUCGAUGACGACAUUGUUAUCGCCGACGAAAAGGUUGCAAACGUGUAUACGGCCCCCUGAUAGGACUGCGACCUAACUAUGACCUAACUAUAUCGGUCGAAAAGUAGCUAGUCUCUGACAAAGGUGCUCUUGAGUUCGCUAAGCCAUUUAUAUGCGAUGAAGGUGGAACGGAUUUAUCUCCAAUCUCCUUUCGCCCGUUCACUCAGUACUCAGUAGCAGCUCCCGUCUUCGCAAUUCGCGAGGGUUGAAAAUGGAUUUCAGACAAUAUGAACAAUAAUAACUCGACAUUCUCAAGUUCACCAAUUGAACAAGUCCAGCAUAUCGUCGCAAAGUAGUACACUCAAGUGGACUCCACCUAAUGGACGGAUACAGAGAUAGUAUCCAGAAAGAUCUUGGGAUUACAUUCGUCAAACCAAAUAUCUUUAGCAGUCGCAAAAGAGGUGACGGGGCUCAAAGGAAGUAAACAAGUCAUCCUUUGAAGCUAAGCACUUUUCAUCUUUUGUAGGAAAAUCCCCUUCUCUAGUCUUGGGAAAUUGAGCGACCCAUCCACAUAAGCACAAGAAUUUUUUUCCCGAGCAAAUCAUUCUUCAUCGCAUAAGCCCAUGACAAGUCAUUUCCAGAUGCUUCUUUCAGAAGAGCACGGGAAAAACCUAUGGAAUCCAUUGUACUAAGAACUAAGACCCGAAAGAUCAUCUAAGGACUGAAAAUCGGGACUCAAAACUAGUCAAGAAGGCUUAAGCUUAACUCAAGCAAUCACUCAAGAGAAGCCGGAUUCGUAAAAGAAAGAAGAAGAAGUUCCAGCCAAUUUCGAUUUUGAAUGAUAAGGAAGCGCUUGAUCCGGGUCUUAGAAGGGCAUCGAGAUCAAGGAGAUCGUGAGAUCAAAGUGGACGUUCCCGAUUUCCAUGGCCGAUUGCAUCCUUGCAUCCUGAGGACUUUCUUGAUUGGCUAAGUAGCGUAGAGAAGUUCUUUGAUUGGAAAGAACUACCCGAGGUGUGCGAAGAUGAAAUUCCUGAGCAAAAAUAAGGAACGCUUUCUCGACGCUGUAGAUCAUGCAUGACUGACUUGUCCAAAGGAGACGGGAAGUUCUUUUCCCCUUUUGUUAGGCUUUGCUGGGAUGAUGUCUCGUUCUUCGUCACGCUGCCCAUGACUGGAUAGGGGUAGCACCAUAGACCAUCUCUUUGGCUUAGAGUUGUUUCAUGAGCGAGGGGGCUAAGCGCAUACACGCUUCCUUCGAAACCUGACUCUAUCUUCGAUUACCAAAAAGAAAGCGAAGGAGAGCCACUUUUUUUUAUAGUAUAGAGUAGGACUGAAAUUCCAAGCGCUCCUAGCUCAGAAACCACACACAGACAAACACAUGGAGGCCCAUAAAACCCAUAAAUAAUAGACUAACAAAUAUACGUGACAUACACUUCCUGUGUGAAGUUUUUAUCUUAAUGAAUCAAAGCUGUUUGUAAAAUGCUACUUUUCUUUCUGCAACAAGUAAGAGUACUUUUUCUUAUCAUACACCCUUAUGAAUGAAUGAAUCAAAAAAAUGUGAUUCCACAAAUAGUCCCCCUUCUCUCUUUCUUCAAAGACAGAGGUACACAUCACAGGAAAAAACCCCAAAAACAGAAAGAGAAAGAAGUAAGUAAAAAAAUAGGAAAUACUGCUAGAUGGCAACCUAACCGAGUACGUCAUAAUUGAGAAAGGUAAGCCCCACUCCACUGAAUUGGAGAAUUCCAGAACACGUAUCAGAGAGUGCUCCAAUGGCAGUGGGGGCACAAUUGAGAGAAUUUCGACGAUUAGAAAAGAAAAAGAAGAAAGUUAGUGUUCAAUGAGCUCGAGAUAGCUGCCUGAUGAGAGGAAAGGACGCCGGGUACAGUCUUUCUUUGGUUCCAGCUCCCCGAUUACACCAAAGCACACCAGUCAACACUGUACUAUAGCUUUUACACCUGUGAGUUGGCAAAAUAAUAUCGUAUGUUAAUAAAAGACCUGAGUUGGCGAAAUCAAAAGAAAAGCUAACGCUAACUAAGUGUUUAGUUACCAUGCCCAAAAGCCCCG
rnacentral:lncRNA from 1 species